rnacentral:rRNA from 1 species
ACGUAGGAGACAAACGUUAUCCGGAGUUACUGGGCGUAAAGGGCGUGUAGGUGGUUUAGUAAGUCUGGCGUGAAAUUUUUCGGCUUAACCGGGAAAGGUCGUCGGAUACUGCAAGACUAGAGGACGGUAGAGGCGUGUGGAAUUCCGGGUGUAGUGGUGAAAUGCGUAGAGAUCCGGAGGAACACCAGUGGCGAAGGCGACACGCUGGGCCGUACCUGACACUGAUGCGCGACAGCAUGGGGAGCAAACAGGA